GAUGAACGCUAGCGACAGGCUUAACACAUGCAAGUCGAGGGGCAGCACAGGUAGCACUACCGGGUGGCGACCGGCGCACGGGUGAGUAACGCGUAUGCAACUUACCUAUCAGAGGGGGAUAACCCGGCGAAAGUCGGACUACUACCGCAUGACGCAGGAGUCCCGCAUGGGGAUAUUUGCUAAAGAUUCCUCGCUGAUAGGUAGGCAUGCGUUCCAUUAGGCAGUUGGCGGGGUAACGGCCCACCAAACCGACGAUGGAUAGGGGUGAUGAGAGGAAGGUCCCCCACAUUGGUACUGAGACACGGACCAAACUCCUACGGGAGGCAGCAGUGAGGAAUAUUAGUCAAUGGCCGAGAGGCUGAACCAGCCAAGUCGCGUGAGAGAUGAAUGUUCUAGGGAUCGUAAACCUCUGUGAUAAGGGAAUAAAGUGCGGGACGUGUCCCGUUUUGUAUGUACCUUAUGAAUAAGGAUCGGCUAACUCCGUG
rnacentral:rRNA from 1 species